AUUGAACGCUGGCGGCAGGCCUAACACAUGCAAGUCGAACGAGUGGCGGACGGGUGAGUAAUGUCUGUGAAACUGCCUGAUGGAGGGGGAUAACUACUGGAAACGGUAGCUAAUACCGCAUACCAUCGGAUGUGCCCAGAUGGGAUUAGCUAGUAGGUGGGGUAAAGGCUCACCUAGGCGACGUUCCCUAGCUGGUCUGAGAGGAUGACCAGCCACACUAGAGCUGAGACGCGACACAGACUCAGACGGGAGGCAGCAGUGGGGAAUAGUGUACAAUGGGCGGAAGGCUGAUGCGGCCAUGCCGCGUGUAGGAAGAAGGCCUUCGGGUUGUAAAGUACUUUCAGCGGGGAGGCGUUACCCGAAGAAGAAGCACCGGCUAACUCCGUGCCAGCAGCCGCGGUAAUAC
rnacentral:rRNA from 1 species